CAUAAAUAAAUAAUUAAAUAUAUAAAUAAAUAUAUGCAUGAAAAAAAAAAUAUUUUACAGAAAAAAACACCAAAAAAAACCAAAAAAAAACAACACAAUAAAAAAUCAUUCUGAAGUGCAAUGAUCGAAGGUCUCAGAAUCUUACAGGUAUAUGUUUUAUAUGUAUUGAUCGGAUUUGCAAUGAAGUCAUUAAUCUCACGGAUUCUAGUGAUUCGACUCAGAGGAAUUACCUUAAAACUAUAUCAGUUGGCAAAAGCAUUCAUUUUGGAAAUAUAUAAUUCAACCAUGCAUAACAUUUCAUGAUUCAGCGCUGUAUGUUUUGUGCGUGAAAAAUAGGUGAACGGUGUAUAAAGGCGUGAAACGCAGAGUGAGUGAAUGUGUGGGGUGUUUGUGCGUGUGUGCGUGCUUUUGUGUGUGUGUGUAUGUGUGUGUGUGUGUGUGUGUGUG